rnacentral:rRNA from 1 species
CACGUGGGAAGAAGUGUAUCUGGCUAAUAUCCAUGGAAUUUGACGGUACCACCAAAGGAAGCACCGGCUAACUCCGUGCCAGCAGCCGCGGUAAUA